CCCAAAAGAAUCCUCUGUGGUCGCCCCCGUCCUUUGGGUCUUAAAUCUGCUUAAAAGUUCAAAUACAUUUCAUUAGACCUGCAAUCCACGUGAACUCACCCGAACCUCCAUCGGCCGACGGACCUAACAUGUUGUGCACACGGUUUGCAUAUAAAACAAACGUUGGAUACGGAAUAUCGUAUUUGCGUGCUGCCUGGGACAGAGACAGUCCUUCCUUCAACACCGAGAAGAUCGCCUCAGCCAUCGUCUCUGGCCGCCAGGAUUUCAGCGGGCCACGUUCGCGGAAGCGCAGAUUGUGGACGAGGCUCUGGUUCGUGUUCCAGCAUUUCUGCCACAUGGACUGCAGCUGGUACUGGUAGCUGUCUGCUGAAAAAUUAUUUUCAGUUAGUAUUCAAUUUAUAAAACAAACAACACCAAUUUAAAAUACAAAUAAAUACAGAAAGCAAAUAAGUAAAGUUUUAAAAUAAAAAUCGAUUACCGCAGAGUACGUUGUUAAAAUAUCUGAAACACACGAAACAUGUAAAAUUCUCGUCACAAGAUGGAAUAUUGGAAAAGUGAUGAGAAAAUGACAGUAAAAUAAUAAAUUACAGAAAUAAUACAAUGCAACUAUCAUGACGCAAGAUAAUAAA